rnacentral:lncRNA from 1 species
CAGAGAUUUCCCGCGUAUCCUCUGCCCCGACACAGGUAUAGCCUCCCCCUUGUUAACACCCCUCACCUGAGCGGCACAUUUGUUGCACCAACACAUCAUCAUCACCCAAAGCCCAGGUGUUUACGGUGUUAUUCAUUCUUGAUGUUAUACAUUGAAUAGCUUUUGGCAAAUGUGUAAUAGCGUGUAUCUGCCAUUAUAUUACCAUGCAGAGGAGUUUCAUGGCCUUGAACAUGCUCUGUGCUUUGCUUAUUCAUCCCUCCUUCCCCCAACCCCUGAAGAUCACUGAUUUGUUGUUGUUGUUGUUACUAUCUUUAUGGUUUUGCCUUUUCCAGAAUGUCAUAUAGUUGCAGUCAUACGGUAUGUAGCCUUUUCAGAUUGGCUUCUUCCAGAUUCUUCCAUGUUUUUCCAUGGCUUAAUAACUCAUUUCUUUUUAGCGCUGAAUAAUAUUCCAUUGCCUGGAUGUACCACAGUUGAGCUAUCCAUUCGCCCACUGAAGGAUAUCUUGGUUGCCACAUCCAAGUUUUGACAUUUAGAAAACUGCUAUAAACGUUUGUGUGCAGGUUUUUUCAUGUAGGUGAGUUUUCAAUUCCUUGGGCAAACACCAAGAACACAAUUACUGGAUCGUAUAGUAAAAGUAAGUUUAAUUGUGUGAGAAACUGCCAAACGGUCUUCCAGAGUGGCUGUAGCAUUUUGCAUUUCCAUCGGCAGUGAAUGAGAGUUCCUUUUGCUCCACACCUUCAUCCACAUUUGAUGUUGUCAUGUUGCGGAUUUUGGCCUUUCUUGUGGGCAUAUACUGGCAUCGCAUUGUUUUAAUUUGCCUUUCCCUAAUGACAUAUUAUAGUCUUUUUCACAUGCUUACUCGCUAUCUGUAUACCUUCUUUGAUGAAGUAUCUGUAAAGAUCUUUGGCCUGUUUCUUAGUCAGUUUGUUCAUUUUCUUAUUGUUCAGGUUUUAAAGUCCUUUGUAUAUUUUGGAUAACAGUCCUUUAUCAGAUCUUCCCUUUGUCAAUAUUUUCUCCCAGUCUGUGGCCUGUCUUCAUUUUCUUGAUGAUGUCUUUUAAAGAAUUAUAAUUUUUUUUUAUUUUAAUGAAAUCCAGUUUAUCAGUUAUUUCUUUUAUGGGUUGUGCCUUUGGUGUUACACCUAAAAAGUCAUCACCAAACUCAAGGUCAUCUAGCUUUUCUGUUAUCUUCUUGGAAUUUCAUAGUUUUGCGUUUUAUAUCUAGAUCGGAGAUUUAUUUUGAGUUAGUUUUUGUGAAGAGUGUAAGAUCUGUGUCUAAAUUCUUUUUUUUUGCAUGUGAAUGUCCAGUAGUUCCAGUAUCAUUUGCUGAAAAGAUGGUCUUUGUUCCAUUGUGUUGCCUUUACUCUUUUGUCAAGUAUCAGUUGACUGUAUUUAUUUGGUGCUCUUUCUGGCUCUCUAUUGUGUUCUUUUGAUAUACUUGUCUAUUAUUUCACCAGUAGACACUGUCUUAGUUUUUCUUUUCCUUUAUGGUUUAUUACAAGAUAUUGAAUAGAGUUCCCUCUGCUGUAUAGUAGGACCUUGUUGUUUAUCCAUUUGAAAUGUAAUAGUUUGCAUCUGCUAACCCCAAACUCCUAGUCCAUCCCUCCACCUUGACAACCACAAGUCUGCUCUCUCUGUCUGUGAGUCUGUUUCUCUCUUGUAAAUAAGUUCGUUUGUGUCAUGAAUUUUAGAUUCCACAUAUAACUGAUAUGGUGUUUGUCUUUCUCUGUCUGAUUUACUUCACUUAGUAUGACAGUCUCUAGUUGUAUCCAUGUUGCUGCAAAUGCCAUUAUUUUAUUCUUUUUUAUGGCUGAGUAGUAUUCUGGUGUGUGUGUGUGUGUGUGUGUGUGUGUGUGUGUGUGUGUGUGUGUAUACCACAUCUUUAUAUAUUCAUCUGUCGAUGGACGUUUAGGUUCUUUCCAUGUCUUAGCUAUUGUGAAUAGUGCUGCUACAAACAUAGGAGUGCGGGUAUCUUUUCAAGUUAGAGUUUUCUCCAGGUAUAUGCUCAGGACUGGGACUGAUGGAUCUUAUAGCAACUCUGUAUUUAGUUUUCUGAGGAGCCUCCAUACUGCUUUCCAUAGAAGCUGUACCGAUUUACAUUUCCACCAACAGUGUAGGAGGGUUUUCUUUUCUCCAUAAUCUCUUCAGCAUAUAUUGUUUGUAGACUUGAUGAUGGCUAGUCUGGCUAGUGUGAGGUGGUACCUCAUUGUAGUUUUGAUUUUCAGUUCUCUGAUUAUUAGCAAUGUCGAGCAUCUUUUCAUAUGUCUAUUGGCCAUCUGGACGUCUUUGGGGAAACGUCUGCUUAGGUAUUUAGCCCAUUUUUAAUUGGGUUUUUGUUGUUGUAUGAGCUGUUUGUAUAUUUUGGAAAUUAAGCCCUUGACUAUAACAUCAUUUGCAAAUAUUUUCUCCCAAUCCAUAGGUUAUCUUUUUGUUUUGCUUAUGGUUUCCUUUGCUGUGCAAAAGCUGAUAAGUUUGAUUAGGUCCCAUUUGUUUAUUUUUCUCUUAUUUCUAUUGCCUUGGGGGACUGACCUGAGAAAACAUUUGUACAAUUUAUGUCAGAGAAUGUCUUGCCUAUGUUCUCUUCUAGAAAUUUUAUGAUGUCAGUCUUAUAUUUAAGUUUCUAUGCCACUUCAAGUUUAUUUUUGUGCAUGGUGUGACAGUGUAUUCUAACUUCAUUUGUUACAUGCAGCUGUCCACCUUUCCCAACACCACUUGCUGAAGAGACUGUCUUUUCUCCAUUGUAUAUUCUUGCCUCUUUUGUCAAAGAUUAAUUGACCAAGGUUUAUUUCUGGGCUCUCUGUUCCAU